rnacentral:rRNA from 1 species
GGGUCAGUAGGUUGGUCGUGCCACCGGUACGUACUGGUCUCACUGAUUCCUCCUUCCUGAAGAACCGUAAUGCCAUUAAUUUGGUGUUGCGGGGAAACAGGACUGUUACUUUGAAAAAAUUAGAGUGUUUAAAGCAAGCUAACGCUUGAAUACAUAGCAUGGAAUAAUGAAAUAGGGCGAUCGAUCCUAUUUUGUUGGUUUCUAGGAUUGACGUA